rnacentral:rRNA from 1 species
GUGAAUACAUAGCAUAUCAGAAGGCACACCCGGAGAACUGAAACAUCUUAGUACCCGGAGGAAGAGAAAGAAAAUUCGAUUCCCUUAGUAGCGGCGAGCGAAACGGGAAGAGCCCAAACCAACAAGCUUGCUUGUUGGGGUUGUAGGACACUCUAUACGGAGUUACAAAGGACGACAUUAGACGAAUCAUCUGGAAAGAUGAAUCAAAGAAGGUAAUAAUCCUGUAGUCGAAAAUGUUGUCUCUCUUGAGUGGAUCCUGAGUACGACGGAGCACGUGAAAUUCCGUCGGAAUCUGGGAGGACCAUCUCCUAAGGCUAAAUACUCUCUAGUGACCGAUAGUGAACCAGUACCGUGAGGGAAAGGUGAAAAGCACCCCGGAAGGGGAGUGAAAUAGAACCUGAAACCGUGUGCUUACAAGUAGUCAGAGCCCGUUAAUGGGUGAUGGCGUGCCUUUUGUAGAAUGAACCGGCGAGUUACGAUUUGAUGCAAGGUUAAGCAGUAAAUGUGGAGCCGUAGCGAAAGCGAGUCUGAAUAGGGCGUUUAGUAUUUGGUCGUAGACCCGAAACCAGGUGAUCUACCCUUGGUCAGGUUGAAGUUCAGGUAACACUGAAUGGAGGACCGAACCGACUUACGUUGAAAAGUGAGCGGAUGAACUGAGGGUAGCGGAGAAAUUCCAAUCGAACCUGGAGAUAGCUGGUUCUCUCCGAAAUAGCUUUAGGGCUAGCCUCAAGUGAUGAUUAUUGGAGGUAGAGCACUGUUUGGACGAGGGGCCCCUCUCGGGUUACCGAAUUCAGACAAACUCCGAAUGCCAAUUAAUUUAACUUGGGAGUCAGAACAUGGGUGAUAAGGUCCGUGUUCGAAAGGGAAACAGCCCAGACCACCAGCUAAGGUCCCAAAAUAUAUGUUAAGUGGAAAAGGAUGUGGCGUUGCCCAGACAACUAGGAUGUUGGCUUAGAAGCAGCCAUCAUUUAAAGAGUGCGUAAUAGCUCACUAGUCGAGUGACACUGCGCCGAAAAUGUACCGGGGCUAAACAUAUUACCGAAGCUGUGGAUUGUCCUUUGGACAAUGGUAGGAGAGCGUUCUAAGGGCGUUGAAGCAUGAUCGUAAGGACAUGUGGAGCGCUUAGAAGUGAGAAUGCCGGUGUGAGUAGCGAAAGACGGGUGAGAAUCCCGUCCACCGAUUGACUAAGGUUUCCAGAGGAAGGCUCGUCCGCUCUGGGUUAGUCGGGUCCUAAGCUGAGGCCGACAGGCGUAGGCGAUGGAUAACAGGUUGAUAUUCCUGUACCACCUAUAAUCGUUUUAAUCGAUGGGGGGGACGCAGUAGGAUAGGCGAAGCGUGCGAUUGGAUUGCACGUCUAAGCAGUAAGGCUGAGUAUUAGGCAAAUCCGGUACUCAUUAAGGCUGAGCUGUGAUGGGGAGAAGACAUUGUGUCUUCGAGUCGUUGAUUUCACACUGCCGAGAAAAGCCUCUAGAUAGAAAAUAGGUGCCCGUACCGCAAACCGACACAGGUAGUCAAGAUGAGAAUUCUAAGGUGAGCGAGCGAACUCUCGUUAAGGAACUCGGCAAAAUGACCCCGUAACUUCGGGAGAAGGGGUGCUCUUUAGGGUUAACGCCCAGAAGAGCCGCAGUGAAUAGGCCCAAGCGACUGUUUAUCAAAAACACAGGUCUCUGCUAAACCGUAAGGUGAUGUAUAGGGGCUGACGCCUGCCCGGUGCUGGAAGGUUAAGAGGAGUGGUUAGCUUCUGCGAAGCUACGAAUCGAAGCCCCAGUAAACGGCGGCCGUAACUAUAACGGUCCUAAGGUAGCGAAAUUCCUUGUCGGGUAAGUUCCGACCCGCACGAAAGGCGUAACGAUUUGGGCACUGUCUCAACGAGAGACUCGGUGAAAUCAUAGUACCUGUGAAGAUGCAGGUUACCCGCGACAGGACGGAAAGACCCCGUGGAGCUUUACUGUAGCCUGAUAUUGAAAUUCGGCACAGCUUGUACAGGAUAGGUAGGAGCCUUUGAAACGUGAGCGCUAGCUUACGUGGAGGCGCUGGUGGGAUACUACCCUAGCUGUGUUGGCUUUCUAACCCGCACCACUUAUCGUGGUGGGAGACAGUGUCAGGCGGGCAGUUUGACUGGGGCGGUCGCCUCCUAAAAGGUAACGGAGGCGCUCAAAGGUUCCCUCAGAAUGGUUGGAAAUCAUUCAUAGAGUGUAAAGGCAUAAGGGAGCUUGACUGCGAGACCUACAAGUCGAGAAGGGUCGAAAGACGGACUUAGUGAUCCGGUGGUUCCGCAUGGAAGGGCCAUCGCUCAACGGAUAAAAGCUACCCCGGGGAUAACAGGCUUAUCUCCCCCAAGAGUUCACAUCGACGGGGAGGUUUGGCGCCUCGAUGUCGGCUCAUCGCAUCCUGGGGCUGUAGUCGGUCCCAAGGGUUGGGCUGUUCGCCCAUUAAAGCGGUACGCGAGCUGGGUUCAGAACGUCGUGAGACAGUUCGGUCCCUAUCCGUCGUGGGCGUAGGAAAUUUGAGAGGAGCUGUCCUUAGUACGAGAGGACCGGGAUGGACAUACCUCUGGUGUACCAGUUGUCGUGCCAACGGCAUAGCUGGGUAGCUAUGUGUGGACGGGAUAAGUGCUGAAAGCAUCUAAGCAUGAAGCCCCCCUCAAGAUGAGAUUUCCCAACUUCGGUUAUAAGAUCCCUCAAAGAUGAUGAGGUUAAUAGGUUCGAGGUGGAAGCAUGGUGACAUGUGGAGCUGACGAAUACUAAUCGAUCGAAGACUUAAUCAA